GGUAACCCUGUUCAUUGGUGGUUCUCCGUGGGGUCUAGCCAAUUGGAUUCAGCAAUCUGGGGGGGUGUAUCCAUGCCAGCUGACUCAUAUUUUCCUAACGAGUCUGUACCGGAAGUGACGUACUGCAGUGUGCAACGUCACUUACGAAGUUGUAUUCCCCAUCUUAUCUUCAGGCGGGUACUGUAUUAGUUGGCAGGAACUGACGUUACACAACUAAAUGUGUAC